rnacentral:rRNA from 1 species
UACGUAGGUGGCAAGCGUUGUCCGGAUUUACUGGGCGUAAAGGGCGUGCAGGCGGUUUGUUAAGUGCAGGGUGAAAGCUCCCGGCUCAACUGGGAGAGGUCCUUGCAUACUGGCAGACUUGAGGGAGGCAGAGGAAAGUGGAAUUCCCGGUGUAGUGGUGAUAUGCGUAGAUAUCUGGAGGAAUACCGGUGGCGAAGGCGGCAUCCUGGACCGGCAUUGACGCUGAGGAGCGAAAGCCAGGGGAGCAAACGGG